AUUCUUUUUAGUUGUGGUAAAAUACACAUAAUAUAAAAUUUACCAUUUAAUCAUUUUAAGCACACAGUCCAGUGGUGUUAAGCACAUUCACACUGUGGGCACCGUCACCACCAUCCAUCUCCAGCCUUUUUCAUCUUAUGAAAUGGAAACUCUACCCAUUGAACAAUAACUCCUCCUCCUGUGGCCCUGGCUGUACUUUCUGUCGCUAUGGAUUUGCCUUCUCUAGUGCCUCCUCUAAGUGGAAUCAUGUAGCACUCUUCCUUUUUUGGCUGGCUUGUUUCACUGAGCACCGUGUCUUCAAGGUUUAUCUGGUGGUAAUAUGUGCUAGCACUUCCUUCCUUUUAAAGGCUGAAUCAUAUUCUGUUGUGUGGAUGGACCACAGUUUGUUUCUAUCUGUUAAUGGACACUUGGGUUGCCCAGGGGGUAAAUUUCUAUUCGGUAUCUUUCCUCAACAGUUGAAUGAGUGUGUGGGGCCAUGAGUGGCAGGUGUGCCUGGCAAUUUGCAAUUCCCGCCCCCCACAACCUUUUUGCUGCCAAGCCUCAGUGGUGUUGGAGCAGCAUUACCUUUAGGAAUCAUACCUGCGGCUUAUGUCGAGUUUAUCCAACUCCUGGCUCUGUCUUACCUGAAAGACGAUUGGCAUCACAGGGCUUUGCUGGCAGUGCUGGUUCCAGUGUAAGGUCCGUGGCUUACAAGGAAAGGAAGCUCUUCCUACGUCAGCCAGGAGUGUUGCUCUGUUCUUUCAGCUAGGAAGAGUCCAGGUUGGGAUUUCUGGGACCCAUACCCCCGCUUCUUCUUCCCCUUCAUCCCAGGGAGUGCUUUCCCUCUGCAAAGAUCCCAUUUCAAAUGCUUCUGUGCAAAUGAAGUGACUUCAUUUGGAAUUUCUUUGUGAUUAGGAAGAUAUUUAAAUGCUAUUUUAACUCUUGACCUCAGGCUAAUGUGUAGGAGUGGACUCAGUUAAUUCAUUAAUGCCUAUUAAUGGAAAGUUCAAAUUUACUUUUGAAAUACAUUGCAAUGUGCCUUGUACUAACCUUCCUAAUUAUUGCUUUUUCCUUAUAGACUAAGAGUGAAAUUAGCAUUUGCAUUUUCUAAGUUAAUUGGUGGACAGAGGAAGGAAGUCAGUGACAUCUUUAGAUUGGAAUUCUGUGGCUGUGGUGGAGUCCUUCAGCACCAUAAAUUCGUAAAUCUGACCCCAAGAGACCCAAUAACCAGUGCUUCCUGUUAGCUUUGGUGGAGAUUGGGGAGAGGUGGCAGCAGCCCUGAAGGGAGCCAAGAGGGAAAGAAAAGGCAGGCGAGGGCCAAGGCCUGUUUCAGGGAACAGGCAAGGAGUUCCAAAGGGCAACUGCUUUUGGAGUAUUGGCAUUCAGUUUUGGGCAUCACAUUUAAGAAGACAAGGACAGAAUACACCCAAAGCACAGGGAUCAGACUGCAAAAGGCCUUGACACUGCCCCCAGAAGAAUGACAGAGACCCUAGAGGGUUCACAGCUACCAUCGACUCUGAAGACCAAGGAAAGCAGGGCAAAGCUUGUGUUGUAAGACUACAAGGGCAGAAGAAAGGUAGCAACUAAGAAAUUAUCCAGCAUUCAGAGCUGUCCAAAGGCAGAGUGGGCUGUCCUGGGAAGCAGUGAGAUCUCAUCACUCAGGAGCUUGGACAUAAACUAGGCCUGCACUUGCUGCAUGUGGAAACAGUGCUUCGAGUCUUUCAGGGCUGGUUUGUCUGGGCUGUUCCUCUAAACCCGGGAAAUCUGUGAGUCCAUGACAAAUUAGGAAACCAAGGAUCUAACCUUAGCUUUGCCACAAACUACCUUAGUCAUCUUAAGCAGAACAUUCCAAUC